CGGGGCCAGCGGUCCUUAGCGGUGCCUUCUCUCCCCUCUUCCCUCCGCUCCUGCUGUGCGGGAACUGGAGAAUCGUUAGGACGUGGAGGAAGCAGAGAAGUGGAUCAGAGAACAGGAGGGCUGGGAAGAGUCCUGGUUUCUCAAUCCUGACUGAGCAUCUGAAUCACCUGAGAAGCUACUAAAAUGCAGAUUCCCCGACCCCAUCCCCUUAGAGUCAGAGUCUGUGCAUUUAGGGUGCGGCCUUUCUCAGAGGGAUCGACUGAGACCUACUGAACCCUAGAAGUCUUUACCUGAGGCAGUUCCUGCAAUGUACUGUAUAUUUCAUGACAUUCCAUGUAAAAGAUGACAAGACCGAGACCGUUGAGUGACAGAGAUAAGAACUGACUUAUCUAAGGCUCCACAGGUGGUAGAUGGCAGAGCCGAGACCUGAGCCAAUUAUCUUUUCUCCUGCACUGUGCGGGGUAAUACAGCUCGUUUAAAACAAGCUGGAGUCUCCAUUCCGUUUUCCGCGUUGCUUCUCACAACUCACUGUUAGAAUCCAGAAGUAAGAGAACCCGGGGAAGCGUAAGGAAGAUGAAUAGGACAAAGAUUCUAAGAAGGUGGGAAGGAAGAAGGCUGCAGUCUAUUUCAAGUCUGGUGAAUUUCAAUCACUGUAGCCUUUAUUGUUAUUUUAGAGCCACCUAGACCAAAAGAGAAGGAGCUCAAAUUGCUGAGACAUUCUGUUAAACAUCAAGUUGAAAAUGUGGGAUUCCACAGGGUGUGAGCAGAGAGCACUCCACCUUGCCAGCUCAAACCUGCUUUGCAGAGAUAACUUCCCCACCCCUUGGAUGAAAUCUCAAGUGGAUACUAUGACUUUUCACCUCCCUCUCAGAUAAAAAGCAGUCCUCCAGUCACUUUCAGUCAUAACAUAGUUGUAUUUCAGAAAUAAAAUACCUAGUCAUGAAUAAUAUUCAAACUCGAUUUUUUUUUUUUUUUUUGAGACAGAGUCCUGCUCUGUCACCCAGGCUGGAGUGCAGUGGCACGAUCUCAGCUCACUGUAGCCUCCGCUUCCCAGGUUCAAGCAAUUCUCCUGCUUCAGCCUCCCGAGUAGCUGGGACUACAUUCGCGCACCACCAGGCCUAGCUAAUUUUUUUUUGUAUUUUUAGUAGAGACGGGGUUUCACCAUGUUGGCCAAGCUGGUCUUAAUCUCCUGACCUCAUGAUCCGCCCGCCUCAGA
rnacentral:lncRNA from 1 species